rnacentral:rRNA from 1 species
UGACUUAGUGGCGGACGGGUGAGUAAUGCGUGAGCAAUCUGCCCUUCGGAGGGGGACAACAGCUGGAAACGGCUGCUAAUACCGCAUAAUGUAUAUUGAUGGCAUCAUCGAUAUACCAAAGAUUCAUCGCCGAAGGAUGAGCUCGCGUCUGAUUAGCUAGUUGGUAGGGUAAUGGCCUACCAAGGCUUCGAUCAGUAGCCGGACUGAGAGGUUGAACGGCCACAUUGGGACUGAGAUACGGCCCAGACUCCUACGGGAGGCAGCAGUGGGAAUAUUGGUCAAUGGGCGCAAGCCUGAACCAGCCAUCCCGCGUGCAGGAUGAAGGCCCUAUGGGUCGUAAACUGCUUUUAUACACCAAGAAAAAACACCACGUGUGGUGGACUGACGGUAGUGUAUGAAUAAGCAUCGGCUAACUCCGUGCCAGCAGCCGCGGUAAUACGGAGGAUGCAAGCGUUAUCCGGAUUCAUUGGGUUUAAAGGGUGCGUAGGCGGUCUUUUAAGUCAGUGGUGAAAUCUUGCCGCUUAACGGUAAAAUUGCCAUUGAUACUGAAAGACUUGAGUACAGUUGAGGUAAGCGGAAUGUGUAGUGUAGCGGUGAAAUGCUUAGAUAUUACACAGAACACCAAUUGCGAAGGCAGCUUACUAAACUGUAACUGACGCUGAUGCACGAAAGCGUGGGGAGCGAACAGGAUUAGAUACCCUGGUAGUCCACGCCGUAAAC